UGGGUUUUGUUCAGGUUGCAAUAAGACAUCUUUGGAUGCAGGAUUUGCAAGAGAUACUGAUGAAGCUCAGGGAUGAACAUCGGUAUUGCCUCUUCUGUGGAUGUCAGUAUGAAUCAGUGGAGGCACUAUUAUCCAACUGUCCAGGAACUGAUGAGGAUGACCAUUAAGCCUUGCUUCAACAAAACUCAGUGAGAGAUACAAGUGGAUUCUAUAGCUCAAGUCAAUCCCAUGACCUCCUGGGACCUGCUACCACCACACUCCACUGAAGGAUAAAACCACAUACAGAAGUGCAGUCCAAGAAUUGUUUGUGUCUUGGGGGGUGUAGUAAUUGCUGUUAAACAAAGUGAAAGGGUUCUUUAACGGCUUCACCACAGCACAGCAAUAGGGAUUGUAUACAUUCAAAAUCAAAAUAAAAUAGAAAGAAGAGUACCCAUUCUCUCACUUGUUAACAUAACAUAAUUUGUUGGUUCCUAUUCUUGUUAAUUAACUAUCAGCAGUAUGUGGAAUUUAUCCUGCGUCA